rnacentral:pre_miRNA from 1 species
UAUGUACUCCCUCCGUCCGGAAAUACUUGUCGAAGAAAUGCAUAAAAAUGAAUGUAUAUAGAACUAAAAUACAUCUAGAUACAUCCAUUCCUCCGACGAGUAUUUCCGGACGGAGGGAGUAAUAU